AGCUUGGCACAGUGGCAGUAUCGUAGCCAAUGAGGUUUAUCCAAGGCGGGAUUAUUGUUAAUCGAAAAAAAAAAAAAAAAAAGCAAGAAUGCAUUUGUUUAUUCAACAUUCAGUAACAUUUUUACUGUGGAUCUCUUAGGUGU